CAGGAUGCAAACAUUGAGUAGGAAAGGGGAGCAGCGUUGCACAGCCUCCGCCUGUCCUGAAAUAUGAAACAAGAUGCAUGAUGCCAUGCAAGGCAACAGAACCCAGGUGGGCCUGACCAACUCCACAACGACUAAGCUGAACACACAGCUCUCAAGCAACAUAUUGCGAAUCUUUGGAACCACUAUCUGACUUGCAUAUGCUAUGGAUGCAGAGCAGACAGGAAGAAAAUCAAUACGAUUGGCCUGAUUAUGAGCUACUCACAGCUGGUGAAUAAUCCUUUUUUUAUUCUACUGGUAAGCCUUACCCUUCCUUCCAGCCACAGUACAUCAGUCAAUCAAUGUACGCCUUUAUCAGAAGAACCUGCAUUAAAACGCUUGUAGAGCUUCCCCUUUCAAAGAGGGAAUAGUGCACAAUGGAAGCAGACGGAUCUGCUGCCAGAAAAAAAGUCCUUCUCAAACUCCAUGAAACUAGAGAAAGCAAAAUUGGAUUACUCAUUGGAUUAUCAUCCCAUCGUGCCAUUGGACAUCUGACCUGCUGUGACAUCACUGCCAAAAAUAAAGCAACAA